UCCCUGGAGGAUUAGUGGUUAGGCCACAGCGCUCUUACUGCUGCGGCCCUGGUUCGACUUCUGGCCACGGAA